AACUCCGGUUCCCCUUCAAGUCGAAAAAAUCUUUCGCCUUUUACUAAAGAUUUCCGUGGAGGGGAGCACUCAAAGGAGUGUACAUUGAAAUGUAAUUUUUUAAAUUGCUCGACCUUCUGGUCGGGCU